UACGGGGGGAGCAAGCGUUGUUCGGAUUUACUGGGCGUAAAGGGCGCGUAGGCGGCCACCGCAAGUCGGUUGUGAAAUCUCCGGGCUUAACCCGGAAAGGUCAAUCGAUACUGCGGGGCUAGAGUGCAGAAGGGGCAACUGGAAUUCUCGGGUGUAGCGGUGAAAUGCGUAGAUAUCGAGAGGAACACCUGCGGCGAAGGCGGGUUGCUGGGCUGACACUGACGCUGAAGCGCGAAAGCUAGGGGAGCAAACGGG
rnacentral:rRNA from 1 species